rnacentral:tRNA from 1 species
GCUCGUGUAGUUUAGUGGUUUAUAAUUUUGCACUUGUAUGAGAAUACAAUCGAUGCAAGGGUCAUGUGUUCGAAUCACAUCAUGAGCA